UACGUAGGGGGCAAGCGUUAUCCGGAAUCAUUGGGCGUAAAGCGCGUGUAGGCGGUUCCGUAAGUCCGCUCUGAAAGCCCAGGGCUCAACCCUGGGAGGCGGGUGGAUACUACGGAACUGGAGUACGGAAGAGGAGAUUGGAAUUCCUGGUGUAGCGGUGAAAUGCGCAGAUAUCAGGAGGAACACCAACAGCGAAGGCAGAUCUCUGGGACGUUACUGACGCUGAGGAGCGAAAGCGUGGGGAGCGAACAGG
rnacentral:rRNA from 1 species